rnacentral:rRNA from 1 species
AGAGUUUGAUUAUGGCUCAGGAUGAACGCUGGCGGCGUGCUUAACACAUGCAAGUCGAACGAGGCCCAACCUUCGGGUGAGGACCGAGUGGCGAACGGGUGAGUAACACGUGGGGAACCUGCCCUUCUCUCUGGGAUAACCUCGGGAAACCGAAGCUAAUACCGGAUACUCCUUGCGGACCGCAUGGUCUGCUCGGGAAAGCUCCGGCGGAGAAGGAUGGCCCCGCGGCCCAUUAGCUUGUUGGUGGGGUAACGGCCCACCAAGGCGACGAUGGGUAGCCGAGCUGAGAGGCUGAUCGGCCACACUGGGACUGAGACACGGCCCAGACUCCUACGGGAGGCAGCAGUGGGGAAUCUUGCGCAAUGGGCGAAAGCCUGACGCAGCAACGCCGCGUGCGGGAUGAAGGCUCUCGGGUCGUAAACCGCUUUCAGCAGGGAUGAAAAUGACAGUACCUGCAGAAGAAGCCCCGGCUAAAUACGUGCCAGCAGCCGCGGUAAUACGUAUGGGGCAAGCGUUAUCCGGAUUCAUUGGGCGUAAAGCGCGCGUAGGCGGCUUGUUAAGUCAGGCGUGAAAUCCGGGGGCUCAACCCGCGGCUUGCGUCUGAAACUGGCAGGCUUGAGUCUGGUAGAGGAAAGUGGAAUUCCUGGUGUAGCGGUGAAAUGCGCAGAUAUCAGGAGGAACACCAGUGGUGAAGGCGGCUUUCUGGGCCACGACUGACGCUGAGGCGCGAAAGCUAGGGGAGCGAACAGGAUUAGAUACCCUGGUAGUC